UGAUGUAAGAUUAAGAUUUAAGAACAUGAGUACAAACUAAAGACUUACCAUGCUUUUAGUUCUCACUUCUCAGUAGUAUUGGUUUUCUUAAACAAGCAAGACAGCGGCUGGUUAUAACAGGAAAGCAGGUGUGUGCUCAACACAUACAUUAAGUCAACACCAUAACCAGCUAUAUCGUGUUGAGCCUACACCAGCUUUCACCGUCAUAACCAGCCUCCUCCUUGUUCACCUACAAAAAUAAAAGAGAUAUCAGAAACUGAAUCACUAAACUUCAAGCGAACCAGGACAGACAAUUGAAACAACAUGCAACAAGCAACUAUAUAAUUUCAAGUUGUCUUAACUUCAAUGCUGAUCUUGCCCUGUAGCCAACGAACAAUCAGUCUUCACUCUUUUGAAUGAUUUUUCAUUAGCUACACGGCGAAGAUCCGCAGAAGUCAGAACUAUAUAGUUGCAAGUAACAAACCGAAUUUCUAUUUCAAACAAGUAACAAAGCGAAUCUCUAUUUCAAACAACAAAACAAAGCGAAUCUCUAUUUCAAACAACAACUAUGAGCUUCGAUCUUUUUCUUGAGGAAGGAGGAGUCUUAGAGAGUC
rnacentral:lncRNA from 1 species